rnacentral:tRNA from 1 species
UGCCGGAUGGUGUAACGGUAGCACAGCAGAUUCUGGAUCUGUUUGCCUAGGUUCGAAUCCUAGUCCGGCAACCA